GGAUGAGGCAGGACAAGAGGGUGUUCCAGCAUACAUCAUUUUCUCCUUAAAGAACCAACUUCUCUGUCUUCUUUUCAUUUGGAGUUAUAGGUAUUGUUCUAAGGCCUCCAGAUUAUUCAGUCCUUAUGCCUUGUAGCUUUUUGGAAAAGGAGGGUCUUUGGAGGCCAAGCAGGCUGGUUGGCGGAAUCAUGGCUCGUGCUGGGCUAGUUUUUCCCUUAAUUCUUGCUUCUCAGAUGUAUGUCCCUGGGAAGCUGCAUGAUGUGGAACACGUGCUCAUCGAUGUGGGAACUGGGUACUAUGUAGAGAAGACAGCUGAGGAUGCCAAGGACUUCUUCAAGAGGAAGAUAGAUUUUCUAACCAAGCAGAUGGAGAAAAUCCAACCAGCUCUUCAGGAGAAGCAUGCCAUGAAACAGGCCGUCAUGGAAAUGAUGAGUCAGAAGAUUCAGCAGCUCACAGCCCUGGGGGCAGCUCAGGCUACUGCUAAGGCCUGAGAGUUUUUGCAGAAAUGGGGCAGAGGGACACCCUUUGGGCGUGGCUUCCUGGUGCUGGGAAGGGUCUUGUGUUUUAAUGCCAAUAAAUGUGCCAGCUGGGC
rnacentral:sRNA from 1 species